GCCGAAGAAGAGAUCAAGAGGUUUCAACGCAC
rnacentral:scRNA from 1 species